AAUGAUGGCCAGGCUGUCUCCACCCGAGACUCAGUGAAAUUGAACUCGCUGUGAAGAUGCAGUGUACCCGCGGCAAGACGGAAAGACCCCGUGAACCUUUACUAUAGCUUGACACUGAACAUUGAGCCUUGAUGUGUAGGAUAGGUGGGAGGCUUUGAAGUGUGGACGCCAGUCUGCAUGGAGCCGACCUUGAAAUACCACCCUUUAAUGUUUGAUGUUCUAACGUUGACCCGUAAUCCGGGUUGCGGACAGUGUCUGGUGGGUAGUUUGACUGGGGCGGUCUCCUCCUAAAGAGUAACGGAGGAGCACGAAGGUUGGCUAAUCCUGGUCGGACAUCAGGAGGUUAGUGCAAUGGCAUAAGCCAGCUUGACUGCGAGCGUGACGGCGCGAGCAGGUGCGAAAGCAGGUCAUAGUGAUCCGGUGGUUCUGAAUGGAAGGGCCAUCGCUCAACGGAUAAAAGGUACUCCGGGGAUAACAGGCUGAUACCGCCCAAGAGUUCAUAUCGACGGCGGUGUUUGGCACCUCGAUGUCGGCUCAUCACAUCCUGGGGCUGAAGUAGGUCCCAAGGGUAUGGCUGUUCGCCAUUUAAAGUGGUACGCGAGCUGGGUUUAGAACGUCGUGAGACAGUUCGGUCCCUAUCUGCCGUGGGCGCUGGAGAACUGAGGGGGGCUGCUCCUAGUACGAGAGGACCGGAGUGGACGCAUCACUGGUGUUCGGGU
rnacentral:rRNA from 1 species